AGUCCACAACAAACGAGGGAGAAUGUAUUUCCUGAGAGGCCUGGCCAGCCUGAAUGUCAAUUUUACAUGAAGACUGGAGAUUGCAAGUUUGGUGCCGUUUGUCGAUUUCAUCAUCCCAGAGAAAGAGUACUUCCUGCUCCAGAUUGUGUCUUGAGUCCAAUAGGCCUUCCAUUACGUCCGGGAGAACCUUUGUGCAUCUUUUAUUCUCGCUAUGGGAUCUGUAAGUUCGGUCCAAGCUGCAAGUUUGAUCACCCUAUGGGAAUCUUCACAUACAAUCUCUCUGCAGCAUCAUCAGCCAAUGCCCCAGUUCAGCAUUUGUUUGGGACGUCUUCGGGAACAACUGCACUGAACCUAUCAUCUGAGGGGCUAGGCGAAGCAGGAUCUGCAAAGCCGAGGCGGUUAUCAAUCUCUGAGACUCGAGAGAUACCAUCUGACGAUGA
rnacentral:misc_RNA from 1 species